GACGAACGCUGGCGGCGUGCCUAAGACAUGCAAGUCGAGCGAGGAGACUUCGGUCUCCUAGCGGCGGACGGGUGAGUAACGCGUGGGCAACCUGCCCUUCAGCCCGGGAUAACUGCCUGAAAAGGUGGCUAAUACCGGAUGCGGUGAUGCGAUCGCAUGGUCGGAUCACGAAAAUUACGGUGCUGAAGGAUGGGCCCGCGUCCCAUUAGCUAGUUGGUGAGGUAACGGCUCACCAAGGCGACGACGGGUAGCGGGACUGAGAGGUUGGCCCGCCACAUCGGGACUGAGACACUGCCCGGACCUCCACGGAGGGCUGCAGUAACGAAUAUUGGGCAAUGGGCGAAAGCCUGACCCAGCGACGCCGCGUGCAGGAUGAAGUCCUUCGGGAUGUAAACUAGCUGUCAGGGAUUAGAAAGACUUCGGUUGAUCAAUCCCAGAGGAAGUCACGGCUAACUUCGUGCCAGCAGCCGCGGUAAGCAUACUCGUA
rnacentral:rRNA from 1 species